GACGAACGCUGGCGGCGUGCUUAACACAUGCAAGUCGAACGGUGAAGCGCCUUCCUUUUUUGGGGGUAGGGGUGAGUGGCGAACGGGUGCCUAACACGUUAGUAACCUGCCCCCUAUUACUGGAUAACAGCAUGACAGUGUGGCUAAUACGGGAUAGUGUGGGUCUGUGGCAUGAUGGGUCUGGGCAAGAUAUUGUUUCGGUGGGUGGUGGGCUCACGGCGGAUUAGCUAGUUGGUGGGGUGGUGGCCUACCAUGGCGGGGCGGGGUAGCCGGUCUGUGAGGAUGAUCAGUCACACUGGAAGUGAGAAAAGGUCCAGACUCCUACGAGAGGCAGCAGUGGUGAAUAUUGGACCAUGGGCGGAAGCCUGAUCCAGCCAUGCCGCGUGUGUGAAGAAGGUCUUCGGAUUGUAGAGCACUUUAAGUGGGGAGGAAGGGCAGUAAGUUAAUACCUUGCUGUUUUGACGUUACCAACAGAAUAAGCACCGGCUAACUUCGUG
rnacentral:rRNA from 1 species